CGCCCCGGCCUGCUCGUGUGGGGCCUGAACUAACGUCGUUGAGAAACAUAAAAAUGAGAUCCAUUUCAGCAGUGCUGCUGUCUGAACAAGCUAUUGCUCCUCUUCAGAAAUUCACAGUGACUUGACGCACUAYUUACCAAAUCACCUGGUUUUUCAAAGAGUUUCCACGUGGUGUGCACAACUGUACAGAUGUCAAACGGUGAAGAUUGAUGCCAGUGCAGUAACAACUCUGCUUCAGGUAAAACGUGAAGGUGUGGUAGUGCAGGAGAGAAGGUAAGAUGUGUGCUUGCAAAGCGUUCCACUUCUGGCCUUGCACGAAACACUGCAUGGAAUUCCAAUGGAAUUCCAAUGGAAUUCCAAAAGCUGCCGAGAGCUGUGCACGUGUGCAGGAUCACAAAGAUACUCGCACCUUUUAUUAACAAGGUCACCCUGUUGCAAAAAGUACAAAUGCCAUCUUGGGAUAUAUAAAUAGUGUAAUCUGCUAAACAGGAAGAGUAGCUGCCAGACAGUUACAGACAAGAUUCAUCUUUGCAAAAGCAGAUGCUUAAAUUUGAGCUUGUCACCUGGAUUCCCUCUGUACUCAGUGUAGACAAGCAGGGACUUCUGGGUCUCAUUGGCUUCUUUCUAGGAUACGUGUUGAAUUAGGCAUUCUAAAUCAGAAAAAAAAGUAUUCCCUCACUUAAUAAAAGGGAGAUUAUUAAGAUGUUUGGUGACUUCUCAAUUGUAAAUAAAUGGAAAUGUUUGCUACCCUUUUAUUAGAGGAUUAAUUCCGUCAGCUCAGUUAACUGUUGUGAUGAAGAUGAGGGAGGCUGCAAGGGCAGAAUAAACAACACCCAUGGGAAGCUGUCUUCUUGUGGAACAUCUGCUUAGGGAAGACACAAAGAGAGAAGUAACUUUUUAUUUGGUCCUGGGCAGAGUACUGGACCUGACUUAAUACUCUCUGAAACAGUGACCCUAACAUACUUAAAAGAGUUUAAAGAGUCACCAUCCUGAGCAGAAUAACAAAUCCAAAGAAGUCCUCUUUUG